rnacentral:rRNA from 1 species
CACCGCGGUUACACGAGAGGCCCAAGCUGACAGCCCUUCGGCGUAAAGGGUGGUUAAAACAAUUUUGUAUUAAAGUCAAACUCCUCCCCAGCUGUUGUACGUUUUUGGAGGAAAGAAGCCCCUUCUCGAAAGUAACUUUAAAUUUAUUGAACCCACGAAAGCUAUGACA